ACAGAAUAUAACCGAUUCUUUUCACGUUUCAGAAGAUACUUACAGAUAAUGAGACGAUACUAAGUUAUAACAGUUCAAAAGAUAUCCACUAUCUUUACUUGACAAAUCUUGGACAAAAGGAAAAAAGCAACAAAAGGUCAAGAUCUUUAACGGAUGAUUUUAAGUGACCGUAUCGGAAAAUUUGUUUGAAAAGAAAAAAAGAAAAAAAGAAGAAAAAGAAGAAGAAAAAGAAAAAAAAGAAGACA